rnacentral:rRNA from 1 species
UGGGGAAUUGUUCGCAAUGGGCGCAAGCCUGACGACGCAACGCCGCGUGGAGGACGAAGAUCUUCGGGUCGUAAACUCCUUUCGAUCGGGAAGAACGCCUUCGGGGUGAAUAAUCCCGGAGGGUGACGGUACCGAGAGAAGAAGCCCCGGCUAACUCUGUGCCAGCAGCCGCGGUAAUACAGGGGGGGCAAGCGUUGUUCGGAAUUACUGGGCGUAAAGGGCGCGUAGGCGGCCACCGCAAGUCGACUGUGAAAUCUCUGGGCUUAACCCAGAACGGUCAGCCGAUACUGCGGGGCUAGAGUGCAGAAGGGGCAACUGGAAUUCUCGGUGUAGCGGUGAAAUGCGUAGAUAUCGAGAGGAACACCUGCGGCGAAGGCGGGUUGCUGGGCUGACACUGACGCUGAGGCGCGAAAGCUAGGGGAGCGAA